UGGCAAUAUGUUGCAAAGAAAUUGAAGUAUUCCCAUACAAGCUUGUGUGAGCUUUGGAGUGUCAAAUGAGCAUUCUGCAACCCUUGCUUCUUCACUUUUAGACUUUGGAAAUUGAUGAUGGUUGGUUCUGUCUUUUCAAAAGAUGCCAGAGACGAGCAAUUGUGGAUUGGCCUCUCGUGUGCUACAUGAAAAUUAAAGGGCCAAUGCCUAUCCGGUGGACAACUGAUCAUCUAACUUAUCUGCAAUCAUCUGCUAAAGGUAUGGAGAUUUUUAGAGACCUUAUUCUCUUGUUUGCUUCUACAAAGUUGGGAAGUGUUGAAAAACUAAAACUUCUAAUGUGUGUCAUUGUGUCUAGGCCUGAAGUGAACAUCUGAUUCAAGCAAAUUUAAUAGUUAUAAUCAGGAAAGGUUCAAUGAUGCUCACUAGCAGAGACCUGCUCAAUUGAUUUAUAUAUAUGGACUUGCAAUUUAAUAUUGCACAAGAAAUUGCAGUUUUUUACUGCAAUUUAAUAUCACAGCCAGAUGUUUCAGAACUAGUUUGAAUUUCGUUCUAGCAACUUAAAAUUACGGAGAAAUCAACUAUGAUCUUUGAAGGCACAAGUAAGAACUAGCAAUGUGGGACAUGCUGAUGGAAUUUCCUCAUUCUUUAGAUUUUAAAUGAACAAUUAAUGGUCUUUUUUUCUCAAAAA